AGGACUAUGGAUAAGGUUGGUCGCUUCGACUCUGUCGGGGUCGAUCAACAGCACGGUGCCGAGCCCGAGAAGUCCGA
rnacentral:tRNA from 1 species